rnacentral:rRNA from 1 species
AGUGAACGCUGGCGGUAGGCCUAACACAUGCAAGUCGAACGGCAGCACAGUAAGAGCUUGCUCUUACGGGUGGCGAGUGGCGGACGGGUGAGGAAUACAUCGGAAUCUACUUUUUCGUGGGGGAUAACGUAGGGAAACUUACGCUAAUACCGCAUACGACCUACGGGUGAAAGCAGGGGAUCUUCGGACCUUGCGCGAGUGAAUGAGCCGAUGUCGGAUUAGCUAGUUGGCGGGGUAAAGGCCCACCGAGGCGACGAUCCGUAGCUGGUCUGAGAGGAUGAUCAGCCACACUGGAACUGAGACACGGUCCAGACUCCUACGGGAGGCAGCAGUGGGGAAUAUUGGACAAUGGGCGCAAGCCUGAUCCAGCCAUACCGCGUGGGUGAAGAAGGCCUUCGGGUUGUAAAGCCCUUUUGUCGGGAAAGAAAAGCAGCAGGUUAAUACCCCGCUGUUCUGACGGUACCCAAAGAAUAAGCACCGGCUAACUUCGUG